AUUUAAGCAGUCAAACCCUAGUCCGAGCAGUCCCAUCCAAUCCAUCCGUCCCAUCCACCGCCACCUCCUCGAUUUCCUCUCCUACCCAAUCCACCAGCGGCCAGCCUCCACCUUCAUCGGGAUCCAUCCCCAACCAGCUAACCACUGGCGAUCUCCUCGAUCCACUGCCCAAUCCCAACGAGCCUCCGAACACCUCCCUUGUUCUCCGCGCCUCCUCCUUCCGCAGCCCGAGAGGCUCGUCCCCUCGUCCCGUGCCUCAAUCCAGGAUGGAUCGGGAGUAGCUCUGCCCUUCUCCAGCCGCCGGCGACCAGGAUCCGCACGUCGUGCCCGUCGCCUCUCCUUCCAUCCCGUCUUUCCUCUAGCUCUCUCUCCCCCUCACUUUUCUCUCUCUUUUGUCUCUGUCCCAAAGGAGUUCCCAUCCAUGGUGCCAGGAGAAGAGCGCCCCGACCACCUCGUCACCAGCUCGCCGGAGCCACCCGCUGGAGCCGAGGCCGUCACCUCCUCAGUUCGUCGCGCCGCUACCAGACCCGACAGGCCUUCGUCGCCCUUGCCCGUUCCCGGCCGGAUCCCACCUGCAAGGUCCCGUCCCCGCUGUCGGUGACCGCGUCCCGCUCAUCCCGGAUCUCCCCUGCUUCUACGAGCACUCGAGGAUGAGGACGAGCCCCUGCCUCCUCGACACGAACUGGCCCGAUCCGGCCAUCUCCGACGCCUCCUCGCCGGAUCCCACGCGUCAAGUCCGCCGCCCGCUGCCGUCUUCCCAGCGAACCUCCCGUGCACCCCUGCGUCGUCCGCGUCACCAAGUUCUGUGCGUCGUCAUGCCCGUUGACCAAAUCCGCUGCUUCGUCCUGUUCGAGGGAGACGACCGAGCAAUUCCCAGAUCCGCACCUGGGCCUCUCCCGCCGCAGUGCCCCAAGGCCCAAGCCGCUCCCCUCGCCCGGCCUGCCUGCCUCUCCACCGACCUGGGCCUCAGCCCAUGUUCUAGUGAUGUUGCGAUUGUGAGGAUUCAUUGGACUACGUCGGGUCGUCUACUUCGUGGAUUCGGUCUUCUUCCUAGCGGAAUCUCAGGCAAGAUGUUCAUCACCUUGGAUCUCACUACUAUCUUUGCUAUGCUAGUUGUCUCGAUGCUAUUGCUAUGUCGCGCUACCUACCACUUGUUUAUCAAGCCUCCCAAAUUGCCAUGAUACCCUCUAGCCUUUUCCAUCAUCCUAGCAAACCGUUGUUUGGCUAUGUUGCCGCUUUGCUCAGCCCCUCUUAUAACGUUGCUAGUUGCGGGUUGUUCCAUGUUGGGACAUGGAUAUCAUGGAUAUCAUGGGAUAUCACAAUAUCUCUUAUUUAAUUAAUGCACAUAUAUACUUGUAAUGGGUGGAAGGCUCGGCCUUUUGCCUGGUGUUUUGUUCCACUCAUGCCGCCCUAGUUUCCGUCAUACCGGUGUUAUGUUCCUUGAUUUUGCGUCCCUAACACGAUGAGGGUUUAUAGGCCCCUCUUGACACUUCGCUUUGAAUAAAACUUUUCCAGCAAGGCCAAACUUUGGUUUUUUACCAUUUGCCUAAUAACAACUAAAACUUGCAUCGGGACCAGCUAGCACCCGAGGACUCUUAAUCAACCCCCGGGCCAGUGCUCCUCAUGAGUGUUGGUCCAAACCUGUCAACCGCCGGUGACCGCCAGGGGCAACUCUGGAUUUGGCCUACUGGAAGUUUGGACAAUCCGAUCGUGGCCUGAGACGAGAUAUGCGCGGCUACUAUCAGGGUGUCGACACGUCGGGAGGUCUUGCUGUACUUGUUUUACCAUUGUCGAAAUGUCUUGUGCAUCGGGAUUCCGAGUCUGGUCGGAGGGUCCUGAGAUGGAGGAUUGUCUCCGCGGAUCGUGAGCUUGUCAUGGGCUAAGUUGGGACACCCCUGCAGGGUUUAAACUUUUGAGAGCCGUGCCCGCGGUUAUGUGGCAGAUGGAAAUUUGUUAAUAUCUGGUUGUAGUGGACUUGAACUAAACUAAAUUAAAAUACACCAACCGUGUGCGUAACCGUGGCCGUCUCUUUUCGAGUGAGUUUGAGAAGAGAACACGGUGGGGUUAUGUUUGAACGUAAGUAGUUCAGGAUCACUUAUUGAUCAUUACUAGUUGGCGACCGUUUGCGUAGUUUCUCUUCUUACUCUUGUACUCGUAAGCUAGCCACCAUACAAUGCUUAGUCGCUUGCUGCAACCUCACUACUUAUCCAUUCCAUACCCAUUAAGCUUUGCUAGUCUUGAUAUCCAUGGUAAUGGGAUUGCUGAGUCCUCGUGGCUCAUAGUUUACUACAACAACAGUUGCAGGUACAUGUAAUGCGAUGAGAUGACGUGAGAGCGAGGCUUGCUUAUUUUGGAGUUCUUCUGCUUCUCCUUCUUCGAUCAAGGGAUGGGUUCCGGGUGGGGGAGCUUGGGAUUAGCAGGGUGGAUGUCGUUCUUCUUUUCGUUUGGUUUCAUCCCUAGUCGGAUCCCGCUCUUCUGUAUGAUGAUUGCUAUGUAUUGAAGAAUUAUUGUAUUGAUGUUGUAGCUUGUGGCGAGUGUAAGCCUUUAUCUUGUAUUCUCAUCUAUUCAGUACAUGGUAUGUUGUAAUGAUAUCCACCUUGCUAUGCGCUCGAAAUGCGGUUGUGCCC
rnacentral:rRNA from 1 species